GGGAGAGAGGUGUGGAGAGAGGUGUGGAGAGAGGUGGGAGAGUGUAAUAGGGAGAGAGGUGUGAGUGUAAUAUGAAGAGAGAUGUGGAGAGAGGUGUGGAGAGAUGUGGAGAGAGGUGGGAGAGUGUAAUAGGGAGAGAGGUGUGAGAGUGUAAUAUGAAGAGAGGUGUGGAGAGAGAUGUGGAGAGAGGUGUGCGAGUGUAAUAGGGAGAGAGGUGUGGAGAGAGAUGUGGAGAGAGGUGUGAGAGUGUAAUAGGGAGAGAGGUGUGGAGAGAGAUGGGAGAGUGUAAUAGGGAAAUAGGUGUGAGAAUGUAAUAGGG